AGUGAACGCUGGCGGUAGGCCUAACACAUGCAAGUCGAACGGCAGCACAGUAAGAGCUUGCUCUUACGGGUGGCGAGUGGCGGACGGGUGAGGAAUACAUCGGAAUCUACUUUUUCGUGGGGGAUAACGUAGGGAAACUUACGCUAAUACCGCAUACGACCUACGGGUGAAAGCAGGGGAUCUUCGGACCUUGCGCGAUUGAAUGAGCCGAUGUCGGAUUGGCUGGUUGGCGGGGUAAAUGCCCACCAAGGCGACGAUCCGUAGCUGGUCUGAGAGGGUGGUCAGCCACACUGGAACUGAGACACGGUCCAGACUCCUACGGGAGGCAGCAGUGGGGAAUAUUGGACAGUGGGCGCAAGCCUGAUCCAGCCAUACCGCGUGGGUGAAGGAGGCCUUCGGGUUGUAAAGCCCUUUUGUUGGGAAAGAAAAGCAGCAGGUUAAUACCCCGCUGUUCUGACGGUACCCAAAGAAUAAGCACCGGCUAACUUCGUG
rnacentral:rRNA from 1 species